UACGAACCGUCCAAACGUUAUUCGGAAUUAUUGGGCUUAAAGGGUAUGUAGGCGGCGCUGUUAGUCGGGUGUGAAAUCCCUCGGCUCAACCGAGGAAUUGCGCCCGAUACUGCAGUGCUUGAGGGAGACAGAGGUAAGCGGAACUGAUGGUGGAGCGGUGAAAUGCGUUGAUAUCAUCAGGAACACCGGUGGCGAAAGCGGCUUACUGGGUCUCUUCUGACGCUGAGAUACGAAAGCUAGGGGAGCGAAGGGGAUUAGAUACCCCCGUAGUCCUAGCUGUAAACGUUGAGCACUUGGUCGGGGAUCCCCUCAUAGGUUCUCGGCCGUAGCGAAAGUGUCAAGUGCUCCGCCUGGGGAGUAUGGUCGCAAGGCUGAA
rnacentral:rRNA from 1 species